rnacentral:misc_RNA from 1 species
GAUGAAGAACGUAGCGAAAUGCGAUAAGUAGUGUGAACUGCAGAAUUCAGUGAAUCAUCGAAUCUUUGAACGCACAUUGCGCCCUUUGGUAUUCCAAAGGGCAUGCCUGUUCGAGUGUCAUUUGUACCCUCAAGCUUUGCUUGGUGUUGGGCGUCUUGUCUCUAGCUUUGCUGGAGACUCGCCUUAAAGUAAUUGGCAGCCGGCCUACUGGUUUCGGAGCGCAGCACAAGUCGCACUCUCUAUCAGCAAAGGUCUAGCAUCCACUAAGCCUUUUUUUCAACUUUUGACCUCGGAUCAGGUAGGGAUACCCGCUGAACUUAAGCAUAUCAAUAAGCGGAGGA